rnacentral:rRNA from 1 species
AGCCGCGGUAAUACGAAGGGGGCUAGCGUUGUUCGGAAUUACUGGGCGUAAAGCGCACGUAGGCGGACAUUUAAGUCAGGGGUGAAAUCCCGGAGCUCAACUCCGGAACUGCCCUUGAAACUGCAGCGCUAGAAUCUUGGAGAGGCGAGUGGAAUUCCGAGUGUAGAGGUGAAAUUCGUAGAUAUUCGGAAGAACACCAGUGGCGAAGGCGACUCGCUGGACAAGUAUUGACGCUGAGGUGCGAAAGCGUGGGGAGCAAACA